GGGGGGGGGUUAUUUCAAUUUGUUAUGCAUUGUUACGUUAAGGUAGGGGGGUGUCAAUCUAACAUAUGUUACGUAACAAAAAUUUAAUUAUAUUGCUUGGAUUAAAAAAUGAAAAAAAAAUUUCUAAUCAUACUUUUAUAAUUAUAUUUAAUUA